rnacentral:rRNA from 1 species
UACGGAGGGUGCAAGCGUUAUCCGGAUUCACUGGGGUUAAAGGGUGCGUAGGUGGGCUAGUAAGUCCGUGGUGAAAUCCCCGAGCUUAACUCGGGAACUGCCGUGGAUACUAUUAGUCUUGAAUAUCGUGGAGGUAAGCGGAAUAUGUCAUGUAGCGGUGAAAUGCUUAGAUAUGACAUAGAACACCGAUAGCGGAGGCAGCUUACUACGCGAUUAUUGACACUGAGGCACGAAAGCGUGGGGAUCAAACAGG